UUUCUACUCCCUCCGUCCGAAAAUACUUGUCAUCAAAAUGGAUAAAAAGAGAUGUAUCUAAAACUAAAAUACGUCUAGAUACAUUUCCUUUCAUCCAUUUUGAUGACAAGUAUUUCUGGAAGGAGGGAGUAUUUG
rfam:Triticum urartu cultivar G1812 contig950079, whole genome shotgun sequence.